rnacentral:rRNA from 1 species
UUCGCAAUGCCCGAAAGGGUGACGAAGCGACGCCGCGUGCGGGAAGAAGGCCUUCGGGUUGUAAACCGCUGUCGGGAGUUAAGAAAUGCAAGGAUAUUAAUAGUGUCUUUGCUUGACUAAGGCUCCGGAGGAAGCCACGGCUAACUCUGUGCCAGCAGCCGCGGUAAUACAGAGGCGGCAAGCGUUGUUCGGAAUUAUUGGGCGUAAAGAGCACGUAGGCGGCUAUGUAAGUCGGUUGUGAAAGCCUUCCGCUCAACGGGAGAACAGCAUCCGAUACUGCAUGGCUUGAGUGCGAGAGGGGAGAGUGGAACUUCUGGUGGAGCGGUGAAAUGCGUAGAUAUCAGAAGGAACGCCGGCGGCGAAAGCGGCUCUCUGGCCCGUAACUGACGCUGAGUGUGCGAAAGCUAGGGGAGCAAACGGGAUUAGAUACCCCGGUAGUCCUAGCCGUAAACGAUGGGCACUAAGUAGAGGGGUUUU